ACUACGGGAGGCAGCAGUGGGGGAUAUUGCACAAUGGGGGAAACCCUGAUGCAGCGACGCCGCGUGUGGGAAGACGGUCCUCUGGAUUGUAAACCACUGUCCCCAGGGACGAAGAUGACGGUACCUGGGGAGGAAGCUCCGGCUAACUACGUGCCAGCAGCCGCGGUAAUACGUAGGGAGCGAGCGUUGUCCGGAAUUACUGGGUGUAAAGGGAGCGUAGGCGGGACUGCAAGUUGGGUGUCAAAUCUACCGGCUCAACCGGUAGCCGCACUCAAAACUGCAGUUCUUGAGUGAAGUAGAGGCAGGCGGAAUUCCUAGUGUAGCGGUGAAAUGCGUAGAUAUUAGGAGGAACACCAGUGGCGAAGGCGGCCUGCUGGGCUUUUACUGACGCUGAGGCUCGAAAGUGUGGGGAGCAAACAGGAUUAGAUACCCGAGUAGUC
rnacentral:rRNA from 1 species